CCUGGAGGAGGAAACAGUCAGCAGCAGUCCGUGGGCCCUGGCUCCAAAACGAAACUUGCCGGAGAGCCGAUAUAUGUUGGUGCGGGCCAAAAGCAGGAACGCGUGCGUAAAAAAUUUGCAUUAAAAUAUCGCUCUUUCUUCCUAAAAUUCUCGCGUCUGGCGUCUCCGGUUUGCAAAGACAGACGCUCAGCUCUGCGCACCACGACGCAGCACAGCAGUGCCACAGCGCCCACUAUUUCAGAAGCUAGGAAUAUUAUUUCACAAGACUUGGAACGGCUCUCUUCAAAAAAAAAAAGUUACUAUCCAUUUCGACAACUUUCUUAGUAACUUUCGGGAAACGGACCGCGCGCCUCCGUUAAACAAAAACAAUAACACCAAAACAUCAAAUGACUGAAUGAAAGAGAAUCCAGCUCAGAUUUGGAAGCGAUAUUACUUUGCGUCUUUCUAGGAGUGUGAUCAACUUUAAAAAAAAAAAAAAAAAAAAAAGAAGCACCGGCGGCGUUUCUCAUCACACACAUGAAAACUUUCUGACACCGGGAAGCAACGGAGCCAAAGAGCGGAGAGAGAGCGCGCGCACCGGAGGAAGGAACGGAAGGCUCGAGCAAAAGCAGAAACAAAACCGGAGCAGGACAACACAUUUUUAUACACAGCACAAAAACUUAUCUCUGGACAAAGAAUCAACCACCACCACCACCACCACCCCCCUCCACCUCUUCUUCUCUUAAAGGAUAUGACAAAUGACAAGGACACAUUGGACCAUCUAUGCGCGAGCCGGUGUGUUUUCUGGAAAAGCGCAAAAACAAACAAAAAAAAAGGAGCAAAAAAACCAACAACACCUACUUUUGGCCAGUUUUCUCGCCCUCGCCUUGGAUCUCAUCUUGUCGGCUUGUAGAUUCCUCUCGUCGUCCUCCGUGAGCCCAGAAGCAGCAACAACACUAUCUUCAUCUCACCAGCAUUGUCAGUUUGGACACCUUCGCACAUGCGCACAGGCCAUUCAAUCUGACACCCUCGCCGGGGCCAAAAAACUUUCCAAUGUAUUCAUCAUCAUCACUUUUUUUUUUUGUCCUAUCGUCUCCCCUUUAGAUCACUUAUCUCUUCCCCUCCUCCUCUUCCUCCUCCUCCUGCGCUCUCCUCACCAUCUUACCUUCCCUCCCUCCCUCCCUCCCCUUACCCGCGUCCCCCUCCUCACCCCUGCAGCCCCCCCACCCCCCCCCCCACCCAGCCCAUUUAGCUUCUGCCAGCAGCCUCUUGGAGUUUUUAGCCCUUUAACUGGGAGAACUUGGGUUUUCUGCAACCUGCGGUGGACACAGAGGUAUAGAGAGGCCAAGGAGGACACGCAGCGGCCACAGCAGCUGUUUGACGCAUGCACCGGCACAGUCCGCGCGCACCGGUGGACGAAAACCCGGGGCUUUUUUUUUUUUUUUUUUUAAUACUUCUGCGUCUUUUUUUCCCCCACAAUGUUCAGGUUUGCAACAAUCAUAUCUGCAGCAGGUAUUUGUCACAGGAGUGUUUGUGGUUCAGGUUCAGCUGCGACGCACCGCGUAUAAAGGAGGAGAAAAAAAACAAAAAAACAACCACCUGAACAGGACAGACAGACGGACAGAUGGACUCAGUUGUGAGUAUUGCAGUUUUGCACCUGUUUGUUUGUUUGUUUGUUUAUUUGUUUGUUUGCUGCAGGAAAGAGGACAGCAGUGCAACGGUAAUAUAUGACAGCAGCAUCAAUGAAAGCAGGUAAUUUUAACAUUUAUGUGUGAAAAUCUGCCUUAUUCUCAUGUAUAUUUUUGACGUUUUUUAAUCAGGUAAAUUCUAAAGUUGCAUUUUACGCAUUCUGCCUUUUACGCAUUUAUAGCUUUUUAUUUCAGUAUUAUUGUUUUUAUUAUUAUUAGUGUUUAAUUAAUGCGUUUUUCCGAAGAGGUUGGAACCUGAUGGGAGCUGUUCUGUUCUGUUUUUAUUGUUGUAUUUUUUUUUUUUUUUUUUUUUUUUUUAAACCAAACACCAGCUCGUCUGACGGUGGCAGGCGGGUCCGUCUCAGCCAUGUGCUGCGGUGCCGGGGCCUUUUAGCCUACAUGUCAUAUGGGAAUGGUUUCCGUCAAGUUUGGCUGAAUAAAGGCGGCUCUAUGUUGGAGCCUAUUAAAGAUCGGUGGUGAUGGAGCGGCUGCAGUCUGCUGGGACAGCGGCAGGGAUCAAUUCACUGCGCACUAAUCACACACCGCUGCUAUAUGGAUUACUCAGAUUAAUGCGCAGGGAUUAUUCUUACUCUGCUUCUUAUUUUUCUUUAUUCCUUGUACUUGUGUUUUCUUUUUUGUUUUUGUUUUUUUGUGUUAUUGCUAUUACUGGUACCGGUUUGUCUGGACUUCCUCUGGUCGCUUUUUGCUCCAGGACUGAGCGGCAGCUUGCACUUAUCACGCACACGAACCUAAGCCAUUAUCAGAAUACAAGCCUCGAGUUGAUCAAACACAGCCUGCAGGGGUGUUAUCCCAGCAGCUGAAGCUAAAUGAAUACUGUGAUCAUGAAUCAAUAAUAAUCACAAGUAAUUAGCCCACAUUGGCUUUAUAUGAAAGUGUGCGUCUUGGCACGAGGAGACCAGAAGGGUGAUGCUAUUGGUUUGGCUGUACGUAAUAAAGAACUAAAAUGUUCAUUCACACCUACAGUGGAUUCUAAAUGUCAUUAUUAUCACCAUUUUAUUUAUAAAUCUGUGAUAAUUUCGUAUAGAAUUAAAGAAAAGGAACAACAACAAAAAAAUAGAUAAAUGAACAAUAACGUAUGUGAAAAACAGUGGCGUGUAAAGGCUCUGUUUAUUCUUUGGUGUCUAGGAAAGUUGCGACAGGAUAUCGGUAAUCCAUUGUUUUAAUCGAUCGCCUCUAUUGAUAUCGCGAGGAAGCAGGGGGAACAAAAAAAAAAAAAAAAAAAAAAGCAUUCGACAAAACUUUCUCCUGUUCAGACCAGGCCUCAAAUUAUUUCCAUCACAUCGGUCUGGAUAAAUGAUUUCACAUUUGGUGGCACCUUAUUUUAUUUAAAGGGGGAAUUAAAUGUGAUUAUGUAAAGAAAAGAAAAGAAAAGAAAAGAAAAGUGUUGUUCUUCGACACCGGGCCCCUUUUUUGGGGGGUGGGGGGGACUUUUCUGCGUCAUUUAAACGUCGACUUUAAACGGGGUUUGUGGAGACGCAGAACGGCUGCGCAAACCUCGCAUUUCUGGAGUAUUUGCUUUCCAGAAAUGUGGCUUUUUUUUUCUUUUUUUUUUUAUUUGGCCUGCGGCUGCACACAGAACUCAGGAGGCUGCACCGCUGGCUCCGGCCCCGGAAGAGAGGUGUGC
ensembl:lncRNA